CGUGCACCAGGCGCGAAAACUUUACAAUGCGGGAAACCGUGAUAAGGGGACACCGAGUGCCAGCAUCAUAUGCUGGCUGUCCAGGUGUGUAAAAUACACCUGUUAGCAAGGGCCGGGCAAGACCGGUGCCAGCCGCCGCGGUAACACCGGCGGCCCGAGUGGUGAUCGUGAUUAUUGGGUCUAAAGGGUCCGUAGCCGGUUUGGUCAGUCCUCCGGGAAAUCUGAUAGCUCAACUAUUAGGCUUUCGGGGGAUACUGCCAGACUUGGAACCGGGAGAGGUAAGAGGUACUACAGGGGUAGGAGUGAAAUCUUGUAAUCCCUGUGGGACCACCUGUGGCGAAGGCGUCUUACCAGAACGGGUUCGACGGUGAGGGACGAAAGCUGGGGGCACGAACCGGAUUAGAUACCCGGGUAGUCCCAGCCGUAAACGAUGCUCGCUAGGUGUCAGACAUGGCGCGACCGUGUCUGGUGCCGCAGGGAAGCCGUGAAGCGAGCCACCUGGGAAGUACGGCCGCAAGGCUGAAACUUAAAGGAAUUGGCGGGGGAGCAC
rnacentral:rRNA from 1 species